UACAGAGGUCCCGAGCGUUGUUCGGAUUUAUUGGGCGUAAAGGGUGCGUAGGUGGCGCUGUAAGUCGGGUGUGAAAUCCUGAGGCUUAACCUCGGAACUGCAUUCGAUACUGCGGCGCUUGAGGACUGGAGAGGAGACUGGAAUUCAUGGUGUAGCAGUGAAAUGCGUAGAGAUCAUGAGGAAGACCAGUGGCGAAGGCGGGUCUCUGGACAGUUCCUGACACUGAGGCACGAAGGCCAGGGGAGCAAACGGG
rnacentral:rRNA from 1 species